AGGAUAAACGCUGGCGGCGUGCCUAACACAUGCAAGUCGAACGUCUCUUCUUUCGGGAAGAGGAGUGGCGGACGGGUGAGGAACACGUGGGAACCUGCCCUUCAGUGAGGAAUACCGGCGAGAAAUCGCCGACAAGACCGCAUAGCCCUCUCUGGUGAGAGCCAGAGAAGGAAAGCCUCGCAAGAGGCGCUGGAGGAGGGGCCUGCGUCCGAUUAGCUAGUUGGUGGGGUAAGAGCCUACCAAGGCGUCGAUCGGUAGCUGGUCUGAGAGGACGAUCAGCCACACUGGGAUUGAGAACGGCCCAGACUCCUACGGGGGGCAGCAGUGAGGAAUUUUCGGCAAUGGGGGAAACCCUGACCGAGCAACGCCGCGUGCAGGAAGACGGCCUCGGGUUGUAAACUGCUUUUCUUUGGUACGAGCAAGGACGGUACCAGAGGAAUCAGCCCGGCUCACUACGCGCCAGCAGCCGC
rnacentral:rRNA from 1 species